UACGAAGGGUGCAAACGUUGCUCGGAAUUAUUGGGCUUAAAGCGCACGUAGGCGGCUUGUCAAGUCGGAUGUGAAAUCCCUCGGCUCAACCAAGGAAGUGCAUCCGAAACUGCCGAGCUUGAGUACUUAAGAGGAUCGCGGAAUUCCCGGUGUAGAGGUGAAAUUCGUAGAUAUCGGGAGGAACACCAGUGGCGAAGGCGGCGAUCUGGGAAGAUACUGACGCUGAGGUGCGAAAGCGUGGGGAGCAAACAGG
rnacentral:rRNA from 1 species